UACGAAGGGGGCUAGCGUUGCUCGGAAUCAUUGGGCGUAAAGGGCGCGUAGGCGGCCAGAUUUGUCAGGCGUGAAAAUCCUGGGCUCAACCCAGGGACUGCGUUUGAAACUGUCUAGCUAGAGUUCAGUUAGGGUAAACGGAAUUCCACGUGUAGCGGUGAAAUGCGUAGAUAUGUGGAAGAACACCGGUGGUGAAGACGGUUUACUGGGCUGAUACUGACGCUGAGGCGCGAAAGCAUGGGGAGCAAACAGG
rnacentral:rRNA from 1 species